CCUGCGGUUUAACGAAUUCGCCCUUAGAGUUUGAUCCUGGCUCAGGACGAACGCUGGCGGCGUGCCUAAUACAUGCAAGUCGAACGCUUCUUUUUCCACCGGAGCUUGCUCCACCGGAAAAAGAGGAGUGGCGAACGGGUGAGUAACACGUGGGUAACCUGCCCAUCAGAAGGGGAUAACACUUGGAAACAGGUGCUAAUACCGUAUAACAAUCAAAACCGCAUGGUUUUGAUUUGAAAGGCGCUUUCGGGUGUCGCUGAUGGAUGGACCCGCGGUGCAUUAGCUAGUUGGUGAGGUAACGGCUCACCAAGGCCACGAUGCAUAGCCGACCUGAGAGGGUGACCGGCCACAUUGGGACUGAGACACGGCCCAAACUCCUACGGGAGGCAGCAGUAGGGAAUCUUCGGCAAUGGACGAAAGUCUGACCGAGCAACGCCGCGUGAGUGAAGAAGGUUUUCGGAUCGUAAAACUCUGUUGUUAGAGAAGAACAAGGAUGAGAGUAACUGUUCAUCCCUUGACGGUAUCUAACCAGAAAGCCACGGCUAACUACGUGCCAGCAGCCGCGGUAAUACGUAGGUGGCAAGCGUUGUCCGGAUUUAUUGGGCGUAAAGCGAGCGCAGGCGGUUUCUUAAGUCUGAUGUGAAAGCCCCCGGCUCAACCGGGGAGGGUCAUUGGAAACUGGGAGACUUGAGUGCAGAAGAGGAGAGUGGAAUUCCAUGUGUAGCGGUGAAAUGCGUAGAUAUAUGGAGGAACACCAGUGGCGAAGGCGGCUCUCUGGUCUGUAACUGACGCUGAGGCUCGAAAGCGUGGGGAGCAAACAGGAUUAGAUACCCUGGUAGUCCAAGGGCGAAUUCGCGCCGCUAA
rnacentral:rRNA from 1 species